GAUGAACGCUGGCGGCGUGCCUAAUACAUGCAAGUCGAGCGAACGGACGAGAAGCUUGCUUCUCUGACGUUAGCGGCGGACGGGUGAGUAACACGUGGAUAACCUACCUAUAAGACUGGGAUAACUUCGGGAAACCGUAGCUAAUACCGGAUAAUAUUUUGAACCGCAUGGUUCAAAAGUGAAAGACGGUCUUGCUGUCACUUAUAGAUGGAUCCGCGCUGCAUUAGCUAGUUGGUAAGGUAACGGCUUACCAGGGCAACGAUGCACAGCCGACCUGAGAGGGUGAUCGGCCACACUGGAACUGAGACACGGUCCAGACUCCUACGGGAGGCAGCAGUAGGGAAUCUUCCGCAAUGGGCGAAAGCCUGACGGAGCAACGCCGCGUGAGUGAUGAAGGUCUUCGGAUCGUAAAACUCUGUUAUUAGGGAAGAACAUAUGUGUAAGUAACUGUGCACAUCUUGACGGUACCUAAUCAGAAAGCCACGGCUAACUACGUG
rnacentral:rRNA from 1 species